GCAUGCUUAACACAUGCAAGUCGAACGAGAAAGUCACUUCGGUGGCGAGUAGAGUGGCGCACGGGUGAGUAACGCGUAGUUAACCUACCUCUUAGCGGGGGAUAACCAGGAGAAAUUCUGGCUAAUACCGCAUACGUAGUACGACAUGGGAAAAGUACUAGAAAGGAUGCCUCUCCUUGGAAGCAUUUACUAAGAGAUGGGACUGCGUUGCAUUAGCUUGUUGGUGGGGUAAUGGCCUACCAAGGCAACGAUGCAUAGCUGGUCUGAGAGGAUGAUCAGCCACACUGGAACUGAGACACGGUCCAGACUCCUACGGGAGGCAGCAGUGGGGAAUAUUGCGCAAUGGGGGAAACCCUGACGCAGCAAUGCCGCGUGAGUGAGGAAGGCCUUCGGGUUGUAAAGCUCUGUCAGAAGGGAAGAACGGCACAUUAUCUAAUAGGUAGUGUGUGUGACGGUACCUUCAAAGGAAGCACCGGCUAACUUCGUGCCAGCAGCCGCGGUAAUACGAAGGGUGCAAGCGUUGUUCGGAUUUACUGGGCGUAAAGCGCGCGCAGGCGGAUUGAUAAGUCAGAUGUGAAAUCUCGGGGCUCAACCCCGAAACUGCGUCUGAAACU
rnacentral:rRNA from 1 species